rnacentral:rRNA from 1 species
GACGGAGGAUGCAAGUGUUAUCCGGAAUCACUGGGCGUAAAGCAUCUGUAGGUGGUUUAAUAAGUCAACUGUUAAAUCUUGAGGCUCAACCUCAAAAUCGCAGUCGAAACUAUUAGGCUAGAGUAUAGUAGGGGUAAAGGGAAUUUCCAGUGGAGCGGUGAAAUGCGUAGAGAUUGGAAAGAACACCGAUGGCGAAGGCACUUUACUGGGCUAUUACUAACACUCAGAGACGAAAGCUAGGGUAGCAAAUGGG